CCUACGGGAGGCAGCAGUGAGGAAUAUUGGUCAAUGGCCGUAAGGCUGAACCAGCCAAGUAGCGUGAGGGAAGACUGCCCUAUGGGUUGUAAACCUCUUUUAUGCGGGGAUAAAGGUGUCCACGCGUGGAUGUUUGCAGGUACCGCAUGAAUAAGGACCGGCUAAUUCCGUGCCAGCAGCCGCGGUAAUACGGAAGGUCCGGGCGUUAUCCGGAUUUAUUGGGUUUAAAGGGAGCGUAGGCCGGUCUUUAAGCGUGCCGGGAAAUUUUGUGGCUCAACCAUGGGAGUGCGGCGCAAACUGGAGACCUUGAGUGCGCGGAAGGCAGGCGGAAUUCGUGGUGUAGCGGUGAAAUGCUUAGAUAUCACGAAGAACCCCGAUUGCGAAGGCAGCCUGCCGCAGCGUUACUGACGCUGAAGCGCGAAAGCGCGGGUAUCGAACAGGAUUAGAUACCCUUGUAGUC
rnacentral:rRNA from 1 species